AAGUCGUAACAAGGUUUCCGUAGGUGAACCUGCGGAAGGAUCAUUAACAAAUCAGAUAUGGGAUGUCGAGCAAUCGACACACCAAUAUAUCAACCCGAACCUGGCAGCAAUGCCGGGUGAGGUGCAGCACUGUAUUGUGCUGCGGUCGGCCUGGAAGUGUUAUGCGGAAGGGCUGGCCACAUAGACGCUUGUAUGUUUGACAGUUUUGUGUGAUUAAUACAAAAAUGACAACUUUUAACAAUGGAUCUCUUGGCUCUU
rnacentral:misc_RNA from 1 species